rnacentral:lncRNA from 1 species
CCCAAACCUUGUGGAAUUACUUUAACCAGGUUUAUUGCUUGCCCCUCGGGUCAUAAUAUCACUGCGAAAGCAAAGACAAUCUUUGACUUGUGUGAUAAUUUUGUAAGAAUUUAUAGACGUAACUAAAAUAGGCUAAAUAAUAUUUUUCAAUAUAAUUGAAUUUGUUCAGUUAGUUGAAUUACUAAAGGAAUGUAAAGUACUUUAUAUGAAUUUAUGGAUGUAAUUUU